rnacentral:rRNA from 1 species
UGGCUCAGAUUGAACGCUGGCGGCAGGCUUAACACAUGCAAGUCGAGCGGUAGCACAGGGGAGCUUGCUCCCUGGGUGACGAGCGGCGGACGGGUGAGUAAUGUCUGGGAAACUGCCUGAUGGAGGGGGAUAACUACUGGAAACGGUAGCUAAUACCGCAUAAUGUCGCAAGACCAAAGUGGGGGACCUUCGGGCCUCACACCAUCGGAUGUGCCCAGAUGGGAUUAGCUAGUAGGUGGGGUAAUGGCUCACCUAGGCGACGAUCCCUAGCUGGUCUGAGAGGAUGACCAGCCACACUGGAACUGAGACACGGUCCAGACUCCUACGGGAGGCAGCAGUGGGGAAUAUUGCACAAUGGGCGCAAGCCUGAUGCAGCCAUGCCGCGUGUGUGAAGAAGGCCUUAGGGUUGUAAAGCACUUUCAGCGAGGAGGAAGGGUGAUGUGUUAAUAGCACAUGACAUGCG